rnacentral:rRNA from 1 species
UACGUAGGGGGCUAGCGUUGCUCGGAAUCACUGGGCGUAAAGGGUGCGUAGGCGGGUUUUUAAGUCAGGGGUGAAAUCCUGGAGCUCAACUCCAGAACUCCCUUUGAUACUGAAGAUCUUGAGUCCGGGAGAGGUGAGUGGAACUGCGAGUGUAGAGGUGAAAUUCGUAGAUAUUCGCAAGAACACCAGUGGCGAAGGCGGCUCACUGGCCCGGUACUGACGCUGAGGCACGAAAGCGUGGGGAGCAAACAGG